rnacentral:rRNA from 1 species
UACGUAGGGUGCGAGCGUUGUCCGGAAUUAUUGGGCGUAAAGGGCUCGUAGGCGGUUUGUCACGUCGGCUGUGAAAACCCGAGGCUUAACCUCGGGCCUGCAGUCGAUACGGGCAGACUAGAGUUCGGUAGGGGAGACUGGAAUUCCUGGUGUAGCGGUGAAAUGCGCAGAUAUCAGGAGGAACACCGGUGGCGAAGGCGGGUCUCUGGGCCGAUACUGACGCUGAGGAGCGAAAGCGUGGGGAGCGAACAGG